AUGAACGCUAGCGACAGGCUUAACACAUGCAAGUCGAGGGGCAUCGGGAGUAGCAAUACUGCCGGCGACCGGCGCAAGGGUGCGUAACGCGUGAGCAACAUGCCCGCAUCAGGGGGAUAAUCCAUGGAAACGUGGUCUAAUACCCCAUAGUAAUUAUGUAAGGCAUCUUAUAUAAUUUAAAGCUUUGGUGGAUACGGAUUGGCUCGCGUGACAUUAGCUAGAUGGUAAGGUAACGGCUUACCAUGGCUACGAUGUCUAGGGGUUCUGAGAGGAAGGUCCCCCCACACUGGAACUGAGACACGGUCCAGACUCCUACGGGAGGCAGCAGUGAGGAAUAUUGGACAAUGGAUGGAAAUCUGAUCCAGCCAUGCCGCGUGCAGGAAAGACGGCCCUAUGGGUUGUAAACUGCUUUUGUAUGGGAGCAAUAAGGGCUACGCGUAGUCCGAUGAGAGUACCAUACGAAUAAGCACCGGCUAACUCCGUGCCAGCAGCCGC
rnacentral:rRNA from 1 species